AUUGAACGCUGGCGGCAGGCCUAACACAUGCAAGUCGAGCGGAGCGGCGGACGGGUGAGUAAUGCCUAGGAAUCUGACUGGUCGUGGGGGAUAACGUACGGAAACGGGCGCUAAUACCGCAUACUAUCAGAUGAGCCUAGGUUGGAUUAGCUGUUGGGUGGGGUAAUGGCCUACCAAGGCGACGAUCAGUAACGGGUCAGAGAGGAUGAUCAGUCACACUGGAACUGAGACACGGUCCAGACUCCUCCGGGAGGCAGCAGUGGGGAAUAUUGGACAAUGGGCGAAAGCCGGAUCCAGCCAUGCCGCGUGUGUGAAGAAGGUCUUCGGAUUGUAAAGCACGUUAAGUUGGGAGGCGUUACCAACAGAAUAAGCACCGGCUAACUUCGUGCCAGCAGCCGCGGUAAUUC
rnacentral:rRNA from 1 species